rnacentral:rRNA from 1 species
CCUACGGGAGGCAGCAGUGAGGAAUAUUGGUCAAUGGGCGCGAGCCUGAACCAGCCAAGUCGCGUGAGGGAAGAAGGUCCUAUGGAUUGUAAACCUCUUUUGUCGGGGAGCAAAAGACGCCACGAGUGGCGGUAUGAGAGUACCCGAAGAAAAAGCAUCGGCUCACUCCGUGCCAGCAGCCGCGGUAAUAGGGAGGAUGCGAGCGUUAUACGGAGUUAGUGGGUUUAAGGGGUGCGCAGGCGGAAGAUCAAGUCAGCGGUAAAAUUGAGAGGCUCAACCUCUACGAGCCGUUGAAACUGGUUUUCUUGAGUGAGUGAGAGGUAUGCGGAAUGCGUGGUGGAGCGGUGAAAUGCAUAGAUAUCACGCAGAACUCCGAUUGCGAAGGCAGCAUACCGGCGCUCCACUGACGCUGAUGCACGAAAGUGUGGGUAUCGAACAGGAUUAGAUACCCCUGUAGUC